rnacentral:rRNA from 1 species
GAACGAGAAAGUGGAGCAAUCCAUGAGUACAGUGGCGACCGGGUGAGUAACACGUGACUAACCUACCCUCGAGCGGGGGAUAACCCCGGGAAACCGGGGCUAAUACCGCAUAACGUCUUCGAUGCGAAAGUAUUGAGGAUCAAAGGAGCAAUUCACUUGAGGAGGGGGUCGCGGCCGAUUAGCUAGUUGGCGGGGUAACGGCCCACCAAGGCUGAGAUCGGUAGCCGGCCUGAGAGGGCGCACGGCCACACUGGAACUGAAACACGGUCCAGACUCCUACGGGAGGCAGCAGUGGGGAAUUUUGCGCAAUGGGGGGAACCCUGACGCAGCAACGCCGCGUGGAGGAUGAAGUCCCUUGGGACGUAAACUCCUUUCGACCGGGAAGAUAAUGACGGUAUCGGAAGAAGAAGCACCGGCUAACUCUGUGCCAGCAGCCGCGGUAAU